rnacentral:tRNA from 1 species
GAAGGAUGGCCGAGUGGUUGAAGGCGCCGGUCUCGAAAACCGGUAUACUCCUAAAGAGUAUCGGGGGUUCGAAUCCCCCUUCUUCC